rnacentral:rRNA from 1 species
AACGUAGGUACCGAGCGUUAUCCGGAUUUACUGGGCGUAAAGCGUGUUCAGGCGGUCUGGCAAGUCGGGCAUGAAAUCUCUCGGCUCAACCGGGAGGGGUUGUCCGAUACUGCUGGACUGGAGGGCAGCAGAGGGUGGUGGAAUUCCGGGUGUAGUGGUGAAAUGCGUAGAUAUCCGGAGGAACACCAGUGGCGAAGGCGGCCACCUGGGCUGUACCUGACGCUAACACACGAAAGCUAGGGGAGCGAAC